rnacentral:snoRNA from 1 species
CUCCAAAAGAGAAUUGCUUUAGCUUCUGACACCUCCUGUGAAAACUGCAUAUAGGUGAUCAUUUUGCAAGACUAAGGUUU